CAUUGUAAAUAAGAAUUUGUUCUUAACUGAUGUGCCUAGUUAAAUAAAAAAAGAUGCAAAGUUUGGUAACAGAAUGAGUGUUUGUGCUGUCAUUCUGUUAUUGUGGAAUUGCCUCACUAGCUUCUAUUUACUCAAAUGGGUUCCGUGGUUUAGACAAAAUCUCUCUGUUGUGUCGUUCUUCAUACUAUCUUGUAAGGUCAUAUUUGUUGCUUCAGUGGAACUGAUGGUUUUAAAAUGUGUGUUAUUAUUGUAUGUGUUCCACUCCCAAACAGGGUAUUAUAUGUGUGAUAAACAUACCAUGUACAAACAGUUUUGUAGUUUGGAUUCUGUACAAUAUUCUGCUUCAUUCAUUGAAUUUACGAACAUAUUAUAAUUCUGAAGACAUUCCUGAUGACAGUAUUUGUUUUGUUUAUGAGGGUAUGAAGGUAUGAGGUAUGAGAAAUGUUUAGGAAGUUCAAAACAGUUCUUUGGAGAUGAAUGUGKAAUUUUACCAACCUAUAUGUUUGGCUAAAUGGUUUUGAUUGCUUCUGUUUUUUAUUUAGAAUAAGCUAUUUUAAGGUAUAACUUUUCAGGAUAGCAUACAAGUUUUCUCCUGAUACUCUGUAAUGGGGAAAUGUAAGAUCACUGUUCAUAGUUUUCUGUGACCUAACUUUUCCCAAAUAAUACUGUACACUCAACAGAGGUUUUCAUCUGGAUAACAAACUUUUUUUUUAUAGCAGACAUAUUUUAGGAACAUGCAUCUUUGUCACCUUAUACACUUGCAUUAUGUUCAUUAGACAACACACCUAAUGAUAACACACAGCCAUUCUGUGUAGAGCUAAUGGGAUUAUUUUAAAAUGGUUCUUUAAAUUGUUUUCUCUGGCUUUAAUAUGAGUAAAAAGGUUACAAGCACUUUUCAACUAUGUGUGCCAAAUAUGUUUGAUUUUAUUUGAAAUUCAAUAAAUUCAAUAAAUGACUGCCAUUGAAAUGUC